rnacentral:rRNA from 1 species
UACGUAGGGUGCAAGCGUUGUCCGGAAUUAUUGGGCGUAAAGGGCUCGUAGGCGGUCCGUCACGUCGGGAGUGAAAACUUGGGGCUUAACCCCAAGCCUGCUUCCGAUACGGGCGGACUAGAGGUAGGCAGGGGAGAACGGAAUUCCUGGUGUAGCGGUGAAAUGCGCAGAUAUCAGGAGGAACACCGGUGGCGAAGGCGGUUCUCUGGGCCUUACCUGACGCUGGAGGAAGCGAAAAGCGUGGGGGAGCAAACAGG